rnacentral:rRNA from 1 species
UGGGGAAUAUUGCACAAUGGGGGAAACCCUGAUGCAGCGACGCCGCGUGAGCGAAGAAGGUUUUCGAAUCGUAAAGCUCUGUCCUAUGAGAAGAUAAUGACGGUAUCAUAGGAGGAAGCCCCGGCUAAAUACGUGCAAGCAGCCGCGGUAAUACGUAUGGGGCGAGCGUUGUCCGGAAUUAUUGGGCGUAAAGGGUACGUAGGCGGUCUAUUAAGUCAGGUGUGAAAGCGUGAGGCUUAACCUCAUUAAGCACUUGAAACUGAUAGACUUGAGUGAAGGAGAGGAAAGAGGAAUUCCUAGUGUAGCGGUGAAAUGCGUAGAUAUUAGGAGGAAUACCGGUGGCGAAGGCGACUUUCUGGACUUUUACUGACGCUCAGGUACGAAAGCGUGGGGAGCAAACAGG